ACGUGUCUAGAAAUUCACUGCAGGCUAUCCAUGUAAAGGUUGUGAUAUCUAGGAACUCAAUGCUUCACUACGAACACUGUAGGUCAACAACUAUUGUCUUCAAAGGGUUAUCCUUGUGACAGAACAGUUACUGCUCCACUCCAACCAUGGCAAGUCACCCAUUUGUAUACUCACUGCUUCACUUCAACUAUUAUCUUCAAUGGGCUGGUUGUUUCUUUGACAGAGUUUGCUGCUGCCUGCACAGAUGAUGAAAGUCUAACAACUUGGAACAUGUCUAAAAACUCACUGCAGGCUAUCCAUGUGACUGUAAAGGUUGUGCUAUCUAGAAACUCAACGCUUCACUUUAACCACUGUAGUUCAUCCAUGUGACAGGGACCAUUAUCUU